AUACCAGACGCACAUUCACACACACAAUGGAAACAUGAAAAGCUAGACGUGCUAAUGAAACGUAAAAUACUACUGCUUUUACUACUGUUGAUGUUUGGUGCAGCCAUCUUGCGUUCUGAACUUGUGGGUUUAUUCCAGUUGAAAUGUUCUACUUAGAACUUGGAAAUUUCCAGUUCUGAAUUCCUACUUCAGAUGGAAUGCAGUAUAAGGAUUCACAUUAGAGCUCGACCCAACCUGCCCCAUACACUGUCAUUUUGAGCCAAAGCCCGAAUUAAACCUGACAUUUUUUGACCAACCCACUCGUUAGGACUCCCCCUAUCACUAGUAAUGCCCCAACACACCAGGAGGAUGAAGACUAGCACACUCUUUCUCCGAUACAUGUGAAGUCAGCCACCGCUUCUUUUCGAGCUGCUGCUGAUGCAGCAUUGCCAAGCAGCCAGCACAUUUGGAGGAAAGCGCAGCGGCAGGUGAACCCGAGGAACCUGAGGAAAGUGGUGGGAAAUCUCGAGCCAGUGACAUGUUGAACUACACUGCCAGUUUGAGGGAAUGUCAUUGCCAUCCACUGCAAAGGAGGCAAAGGGCGCACGGGUACGAUGGUGUGUACAUGGUUGAUUGACAGCGUUUAGUUUGAGAGUGCGCAGGUGUGGGAAAGGGCAAUGGCAGUGAUCUGAAGGUGCGGAUCAUAGUGAAAAGAGAGCAGGUGUUCCAGUGUGUCUGUGCCACGCAGACGAACUGUAGGCUGUUCCCAGAUACUGAAAACAAUGCCGUGGUGAUCAGCUUUCAGGAAGGGCCAGUGGUUUGUGGUGAUGUUAAGGUCAUGUUUGAAUCCAGGGCUGGUCUUCCAAAGGGGUAUGAGGACUAUCCUUUCUAUUUCUGGUUCAACACUUCAUUUGUAGAGAACAACAGGCUCUAUCUGUCAAGGGAGGAACUGGACAACCCACGUAAGUCCAAAACCUGGGACAUCUACAAGGAGGACUUUGGUGUGACCGUGUCUUUCAGUGACCCUGCACUUAUGUAGCAGACGACACUUGCUUGUGUAUCUCAACUAAAACCCUUAAGCCCUGCACAAGGUCUAAAUCUUUGCUCUAAUGUAGGUUUUCACACACUUAUAAAAGGUGAGUGAUGUUUAGGGAUUGGAUUCGGGCUAUAUAACCUCAACUUUAUGUCCAUCCCCCAUCUUCACUGUAAGAGCUUUUUACUGAGCCGUGCGUUACACCACAAUAUUAUGCAUUUGUUUGUCAAAUGUUUUUUUUGUCUUUAA